AUAAUAUAUAUAUUUUUUUUUUGAAAAAAAAGUUAUAGUAUUUUUUUAAUACGUUUUUGAGGUAAACAGUGAAAAAAAAUAGAAAAAAAAUUGUAUGGCAAACACUGUAAAAUUGAUUAGAUUCAGGCUGUUUGACACAGUGAUUAUAAUUUACACCAAACAUAAAAACUUUACAUGUGUGAGAAAAACUAGUCCUUAGUUCAAAGAAAACCACAAG
rnacentral:lncRNA from 1 species